UAUGCAAGUCGGCCCACGCAUGUGGUGCCGGGCGACACUUUCGAAUUGACGGGGAUACCCUAAAGCCUGUCGCACCAACUCUGUGUGGGAAACCGCUGGAGGGCCCGUGCUAACUACACGGGGUGGUAACAGACGACACGGAUACCUCCACGCCUUUUUUGGUGUAGAUACCAUGGGCAAUCCGCAGCGAAGCCUCUAAGUCCGGCCGCCGGAUAUGAGGAACGUUCACAGACUAAGUGGAAGUGGGUGGAGCGUUCGCCGCUCUGCUUAAGAUAUAGUCGGUCCCCUUGGGAAACUAAGGGGGUGAGUACACUGCUCGAAAUUUAAACUUGAGCGCAUCUCGGAUAGCGCUCGUGUUAGAAUUUCGGGACCGUCGAUUGCCUCGCGGUUCGACGGCUCUUAAAACGUUCCGUAGGUGAACCUGCGGAAGGAUCAUUACAGAAAGUAAACGCGGAUCAAACCGCGAACUUUUAAACCUUUGACGAUUGACUCAUGUUGCCUCGGCGGGUUCUCUCGCCAGAGGAUACAUCAAAACUCCUGUUUUAACGGUGUUGUCUGAGCUACAAGCAACGAAUCAAAACUUUCAACAACGGAUCUCUUGGUUCUGGCAUCGAUGAAGAACGCAGCGAAAUGCGAUAAGUAGUGUGAAUUGCAGAAUUCAGUGAAUCAUCGAAUCUUUGAACGCACAUUGCGCCCCUUGGUAUCCCGAGGGGCAUGCCUGUUCGAGCGUCAUUUCACCACUCAAGCCUGGCUUGGUGUUGGGCGACGUCCCCUUCAGGGACGCGCCUCGAAACGCUCGGCGGCGUGGCACCGGCUUUAAGCGUAGCAGAAUCUUUCGCUUCAAAAGUUGGGGCCCCGUCUGCCGGAAGACCUACUCGCAAGGUUGACCUCGGAUCAGGCAGGGAUACCCGCUGAACUUAAGCAUAUCAAUAAG
rnacentral:misc_RNA from 1 species